rnacentral:rRNA from 1 species
UACGUAGGGUGCGAGCGUUGUCCGGAAUUAUUGGGCGUAAAGAGCUUGUAGGCGGUUUGUCGCGUCUUCUGUGAAAAUCCGGGGCUCAACCCCGGACUUGCAGUGGGUACGGGCAGACUAGAGUGUGGUAGGGGAGACUGGAAUUCCUGGUGUAGCGGUGGAAUGCGCAGAUAUCAGGAGGAACACCGAUGGCGAAGGCAGGUCUCUGGGCCACUACUGACGCUGAGAAGCGAAAGCAUGGGGAGCGAACAGG